rnacentral:rRNA from 1 species
UUGGGCGUAAGAGCUUGUAGGUGGUUUGUCGCGUCUGCUGUGAAAAUCCGAGGCUCAACCUCGGACUUGCAGUGGGUACGGGCAGACUAGAGUGUGGUAGGGGAGACUGGAAUUCCUGGUGUAGCGGUGGAAUGCGCAGAUAUCAGGAGGAACACCGAUGGCGAAGGCAGGUCUCUGGGCCAUUACUGACACUGAGAAGCGAAAGCAUGGGGAGCGAACAGGAUUAGAUACCCUGGUAGUCCAUGCCGUAAACGUUGGGAACUAGGUGUGGGUCUCAUUCCACGAGAUCCGUGCCGCAGCUAACGCAUUAAGUUCCCCGCCUGGGGAGUACGGCCGCAAGGCUAAAACUCAAAGGAAUUGACGGGGGCCCGCACAAGCGGCGGAGCAUGCGGAUUAAUUCGAUGCAACGCGAAGAACCUUACCAAGGCUUGACAUACACCGGAAUCACUCAGAGAUGGGUGCGUCUUCGGACUGGUGUACAGGUGGUGCAUGGUUGUCGUCAGCUCGUGUCGUGAGAUGUUGGGUU